GACGAACGCUGGCGGCGUGCUUAACACAUGCAAGUCGAACGGAAAGGCCCCUUUGGGGGUACUCGAGUGGCGAACGGGUGAGUAACACGUGAGUAACCUGCCCUUGACUUCGGGAUAACUUCAGGAAACUGGGGCUAAUACCGGAUAGGAAUCCUUGCUGCAUGGUGGGGGUUGGAAAGCUUCGGCGGUUUUGGAUGGACUCGCGGCUUAUCAGCUUGUUGGUGGGGUAGUGGCUUACCAAGGCUUUGACGGGUAGCCGGCCUGAGAGGGCGACCGGCCACAUUGGGACUGAGAUACGGCUCAGACUCCUACGGGAGGCAGCGGUGGGGAAUAUUGCACAAUGGGCGGAAGCCUGAUGCAGCAACGCCGCGUGCGGGAUGACGGCCUUCGGGUUGUAAACCGCUUUCAGCAGGGGCGAAGCUUGUGGUGACGGUACCUGCAGAAGAAGCACCGGCUAACUACGUG
rnacentral:rRNA from 1 species